rnacentral:rRNA from 1 species
AGUCGUAACAAGGUUUCCGUAGGUGAACCUGCGGAAGGAUCAUUAGUGAAUCUAGGACGUCCAACUUAACUUGGAGUCCGAACUCUCACUUUCUAACCCUGUGCAUCUGUUUUAAAAUUGGCUAGUAGCUCUUCGGAGCGAACCACCAUUUUUCACUUAUACAAACACAAAGUCUAUGAAUGUAAACAAAUUUAUAACAAAACAAAACUUUCAACAACGGAUCUCUUGGCUCUCGCAUCGAUGAAGAACGCAGCGAAAUGCGAUACGUAAUGUGAAUUGCAGAAUUCAGUGAAUCAUCGAAUCUUUGAACGCACCUUGCGCUCCUUGGUAUUCCGAGGAGCAUGCCUGUUUGAGUGUCAUGAAAUCUUCAACCCACCUCUUUCUUAGUGAAUCUGGUGGUGCUUGGUUUCUGAGCGCUGCUCUGCUUCGGCUUAGCUCGUUCGUAAUGCAUUAGCAUCCGCAACCGAAACUUCGGAUUGACUUGGCGUAAUAGACUAUUCGCUGAGGAUUCCAGACUUGUUCUGGAGCCGAGUUGGGUUAAAGGAAGCUUCUAAUCCUAAAGUCUAUUUUUUGAUUAGAUCUCAAAUCAGGUAGGACUACCCGCUGAACUUAAGCAUAUCAAUAAGUCG